GAAAAUCCGUCGAUUUCAAAAAUCGUGAGGGUUCAAGUCCCUCUAUCCCCA
rnacentral:tRNA from 9 species